CCUAGGGGCGGCAGCAGUGGGGAAUAUUGGACAAUGGGCGAAAGCCUGAUCCAGCCAUGCCGCGUGUGUGAAGAAGGCCUUCGGGUUGUAAAGCACUUUCAGUGGGGAAGAAAGCCUUGGGGCUAAUACCCUCGAGGAAGGACAUCACCCACAGAAGAAGCACCGGCUAACUCCGUGCCAGCAGCCGCGGUAAUACGGAGGGUGCGAGCGUUAAUCGGAAUUACUGGGCGUAAAGCGCGCGUAGGCGGUCUGAUAAGCCGGUUGUGAAAGCCCCGGGCUCAACCUGGGAACGGCAUCCGGAACUGUCAGGCUAGAGUGCAGGAGAGGAAGGUAGAAUUCCCGGUGUAGCGGUGAAAUGCGUAGAGAUCGGGAGGAAUACCAGUGGCGAAGGCGGCCUUCUGGACUGACACUGACGCUGAGGUGCGAAAGCGUGGGUAGCAAACAGGAUUAGAUACCGAGUAGUC
rnacentral:rRNA from 1 species